GGGCGGUUGGCGGAAUUGGUAGACGCGCUGCGUUCAGGGCGCAGUGGCCUUAAGGCCAUGGAGGUUCAAGUCCUCUAUCGCCCAC
rnacentral:tRNA from 1 species